GACGAACGCUGGCGGCGUGCCUAAUACAUGCAAGUCGAACGCAGUGGGGACGGGUGAGUAACACGUGGGUAACCUCCCAUCAGAGGGGAUAACACUUGGAAACAGGUGCUAAACCGAUACUGAUGGAUGGUUCCGGGGUGCAUUAGCUAGUUGGUGAGGUAACGGCUAACCAAGGCCACGAUGCAUAGCCGCCUGGAGAGGGCGUCCGGCCACACUGGAACGGAGCCAGGGCCCGACUCCUUACGGGAGGAGGCAGAAGGGAAUCUUCGGCAAUGAACGAAAGUCUAACGGGGCAACGCGGCGUGAGUGAAGAAGUUUUUCGGAUCGUAAAACUCUGUUUUUAGAGAAGCGGUAUCUAACCAGAAAGCCACGGCUAACUACGUGCCAGCAGCCGCGGUAAUUC
rnacentral:rRNA from 1 species